UUCUGGUCGAUCCCGGCGGAGGUCAUUGCUAUCGGAGUCCGAUUUAGCCAUGCUAGUUGUACGAAUUCAUAUCCGUAGCAGAUAGCUCAGUAACACGUGGCCAAACUACCCUAUAGACCAGAAUAACCUCGGGAAACUGAGGCUAAUGCUGGAUACUCCUCUAUCCUGGAAUGGAUCGAGGUACAAACGCUCCGGCGCUAUAGGAUGUGGCUGCGGCCGAUUAGGUAGACGGUGGGGUAACGACCCACCGUGCCAAUAAUCGGUACGGGUUGUGAGAGCAAGAGCCCGGAGACGGAAUCUGAGACAAGAUUCCGGGCCCUACGGGGCGCAGCAGGCGCGAAAACUUUACACUGCACGACAGUGCGAUAAGGGGACUCCGAGUGCGUGGGCAUAGUGCCCUCGCUUUUGUGAACCGUAGGGAGGUUCACGAAUAAGAACUGGGCAAGACCAGUGCCAGCCGCCGCGGUAGCACCGGCAGUUCAAGUGAUGACCAAUUUUAUUGGGCCUAAAGCGUCCGUAGCCGGCCAGGCAAGUCUGUUGGGAAAUCUGCUCGCUCAACGAGCAGGCGUCCAGCGGAUACUGUUUGGCUCGGGACCGAGAGACUCAAGGGGUACGUCUGGGGUAGGAGUGAAAUCCUGUAAUCCUGGACGGACCGCCGAUGGCGAAAGCACCUUGAGAGAACGGAUCCGANGGUGAGGGACGAAAGCUGGGGUCACGAACCGGAUUAGAUACCCGGGUAGUCCCAGCUGUAAACGAUGCCAGUUAGGUUUGGCGCGGGCUACGAGCUCGUGCUGUACCGCAGUGAAGACGAUAAACUGGCCGCCUGGGAAGUACGUCCGCAAGGAUGAAACUUAAAGGAAUUGGCGGGGGAGCACUACAACCGGAGGAGCCUGCGGUUUAAUUGGACUCAACGCCGGACAUCUCACCAGCUCCGACAGUAUGCAGUGAAAGUCAGUGUGAUGAGCUUACUUGAGCUACUGAGAGGAGGUGCAUGGCCGCCGUCAGCUCGUACCGUGAGGCGUCCUGUUAAGUCAGGCAACGAGCGAGACCC
rnacentral:rRNA from 1 species